AUUGAACGCUGGCGGCAUGCCUUACACAUGCAAGUCGAACGGCAGCACGGGAGCAAUCCUGGUGGCGAGUGGCGAACGGGUGAGUAAUAUAUCGGAACGUGCCCAGUCGUGGGGAUAACGUAGCGAAAGCUACGCUAAUACCGCAUACGAUCUAUGGAUGAAAGCGGGGGAUCGCAAGACCUCGCGCGAUUGGAGCGGCCGAUAUCAGAUUAGGUAGUUGGUGAGGUAAAGGCUCACCAAGCCGACGAUCUGUAGCUGGUCUGAGAGGACGACCAGCCACACUGGGACUGAGACACGGCCCAGACUCCUACGGGAGGCAGCAGUGGGGAAUUUUGGACAAUGGGCGCAAGCCUGAUCC
rnacentral:rRNA from 1 species